GACGAAGAAAAUCACAGGCCAAGCAUGAACAGGAUCACGAUCCUCAGGCAAGUACUCGUUAAGGAAGCUAAGCUUCUUCGAAACCUUAGCAGCUGGUUUCCGGAGCUUCCUUACAACGAAAGAGUCGUCGGUCACCACCAUCUGCUGCACAACGUCUUUGCAUCCGAUUGCGAGAUCCAUAAGCAUUUCUCCCCAAGACUUCAUAAACCCCGUCACUUGAUCUUUCAAACUCUCCACUGAUUCGGAUCCAGAACCCGACUCGAAACCCGAACUCUUUGACCUCGAUUCAGUAUCCGCCGUCAAAUCAAUCGGAGAUCCGUCGUAUUGUAAACCUCCGUCCAUGAGACUAGCUAACUCGUCUUGCCACGUAGGCACUCCUCUUCGCAUCUCCUCCAUUAUCAAAACGAAAUCCCUAAAUCCCAAGUCAGGACCAACUCUUCAGAGCAACAAGACGAAGAAGAAGAAGACCUGAACAUACAUUAAAGUGGGUUCUUAUGAGCAAAGAGAAGAAAACACAAAGAGCGCGAGAGAGAAGAACAUGGCGAUAAUGAGCUGCAAAACUGACACCUUUACAAGC